GAUGAACGCUGGCGGCGUGCCUAAUACAUGCAAGUCGAGCGAACAGACGAGGAGCUUGCUCCUCUGACGUUAGCGGCGGACGGGUGAGUAACACGUGGAUAACCUACCUAUAAGACUGGGAUAACUUCGGGAAACCGGAGCUAAUACCGGAUAAUAUAUUGAACCGCAUGGUUCAAUAGUGAAAGACGGUUUUGCUGUCACUUAUAGAUGGAUCCGCGCCGCAUUAGCUAGUUGGUAAGGUAACGGCUUACCAAGGCAACGAUGCGUAGCCGACCCGAGAGGGUGAUCGGCCACACUGGAACUGAGACACGGUCCAGACUUCUACGGGAGGCAGCAGUAGGGAAUCUUCCGCAAUGGGCGAAAGCCUGACGGAGCAACGCCGCGUGAGUGAUGAAGGUCUUCGGAUCGUAAAACUCUGUUAUUAGGGAAGAACAAAUGUGUAAGUAACUAUGCACGUCCUGACGGUACCUAAUCAGAAAGCCACGGCUAACUACGUG
rnacentral:rRNA from 1 species